rnacentral:rRNA from 1 species
CAUAGGUUAAUGAGGCGAACCGGGGGAACUGAAACAUCUAAGUACCCCGAGGAAAAGAAAUCAACCGAGAUUCCCCCAGUAGCGGCGAGCGAACGGGGAGCAGCCCAGAGCCUGAAUCAGUGUGUGUGUUAGUGGAAGCGUCUGGAAAGGCGCGCGAUACAGGGUGACAGCCCCGUACACAAAAAUGCACAUGCUGUGAGCUCGAUGAGUAGGGCGGGACACGUGGUAUCCUGUCUGAAUAUGGGGGGACCAUCCUCCAAGGCUAAAUACUCCUGACUGACCGAUAGUGAACCAGUACCGUGAGGGAAAGGCGAAAAGAACCCCGGCGAGGGGAGUGAAAAAGAACCUGAAACCGUGUACGUACAAGCAGUGGGAGCACGCUUAGGCGUGUGACUGCGUACCUUUUGUAUAAUGGGUCAGCGACUUAUAUUCUGUAGCAAGGUUAACCGAAUAGGGGAGCCGAAGGGAAACCGAGUCUUAACUGGGCGUUAAGUUGCAGGGUAUAGACCCGAAACCCGGUGAUCUAGCCAU